rnacentral:rRNA from 1 species
UACACACCGCCCGUCACACCAUGAAAGUUGUGCCUACCAGAAGUCGCUGCGCUAACCGUAAGGGGGCAGGCGCCCAAGGUAGGAACGAUGAUUGGGGUG